rnacentral:rRNA from 1 species
UAGGGAAUCUUCCACAAUGGACGCAAGUCUGAUGGAGCAACGCCGCGUGAGCGAAGAAGGUUUUCGGACCGUAAAGCUCUGUUGUUGGUGAAGAAGGAUAGAGGUAGUAACUGGCCUUUAUUUGACGGUAAUCAACCAGAAAGUCACGGCUAACUACGUGCCAGCAGCCGCGGUAAUACGUAGGUGGCAAGCGUUGUCCGGAUUUAUUGGGCGUAAAGCGAGCGCAGGCGGAAGAAUAAGUCUGAUGUGAAAGCCCUCGGCUUAACCGAGGAAUUGCAUCGGAAACUGUUUUCUUGAGUGCAGAAGAGGAGAGUAGAACUCCAUGUGUAGCGGUGGAAUGCGUAGAUAUAUGGAAGAAUACCAGUGGCGAAGGCGGCUCUCUGGUCUGCAACUGACGCUGAGGCUCGAAAGCAUGGGUAGCGAACAGGAUUAGAUACCCUGGUAGUCCAUGCCGUAAACGAUGAGUGCUAAGUGUUGGGAGGCUUCCGCCUCUCAGUGCUGCAGCUAACGCAUUAAGCACUCCGCCUGGGGGAGUACGACCGCAAGGUUGAAAC